CACAGGUGUGGACGUCUCAGUGCUUGUGGUAGCAGUGUUGGUGGUAGUCAUGGGAGCAGAGGCACUGGUGCUGGUGGGAGCAGUGGUGCUGGUACUCGUGGUAGCAGUGGCGCUGGUGCUUGUGGGUGCAGUGGCACUGGUGCUCGUGGUAGCAGUGGUGCUGCUACUCAUGGGAGUAGUGGCGCUGGUGCUGGUGAGAGCAGAGGCGCUGGUAGUCGUGGUAGCAGUGGCGCUGGUGCUUGUGUGUGCAGUGGCACUGGUGCUCGUGAGAGCAGUGGUGCUGGUGCUCACGGGAGAAGUAGUUAUUGUACUCACAGGUGUGGACGUCUCAGUGCUUGUGGUA
rnacentral:lncRNA from 1 species